rnacentral:tRNA from 1 species
GCCUGGCUAGCUCAAUCAGUAGAGCAUGUGCCUCUUGAUCUCAAGGUUGUGAGUUCAAGCCACACACUGGGCA